GUAGUGGAAACUACCGUUGGAUCGAGAAAUAGACGUCCGAGAUUCGUCCACGUCACCAUGAGUUAAAAUUUAACUCGCAGAUUCACUCAUGAGUUAAAAUUUUACUGGGAGUUAAAUUUUAACUCAUGGUGACGUGGACGAAUCUCGGACAUCCAUUUCUCGAUCCAACGGUAGUUUCCAAGUUUUC
rnacentral:pre_miRNA from 1 species